rnacentral:lncRNA from 1 species
GGAUAGCGUUAAAAACAGGGCCCCCACCCUCAGACACUGUCUUCCUGUUAUUUGAGAUUCAUUGGUUCGUUCCAGCCGUGGUUUGGCCUGGGCCCAGCAGUCUGGAGCAGGCUCCUCUACAUGUUACCAGGCCUUCUUCAGAGGAGCUGUGAUGAUCUCCAUCCAGGACAUCCUGAGGCCCUCCUCAGACCUUCCCUGUUGUUUCCGCCCACCACUGGGUGAAGUGGGUCCAUAGCAGGUGGGAUGCUGGGAGGGAGCUGAAAAGAGACUUCCUGAUUAAGAACGAGGGGCACAAACAUGGACAGAUGUUUUCCAAACCCUAUCUGGCCCAAACCUUCCAGCUACCAUCAACCCCUCCCAUCUACCAUUCAGAACAGAGGCGUGAUGAGUCUGGAGGAUCUGUGACCAUGACAACGAGGAGUUCAAACAAAUCCACACGGACUACAAGGUAUGUUCAAGGACACACAACACAACCAACGAAGGAGGAGUUUGAUGUGAUGGAUCACAGUGACACAACGCUCAUGUUACUAUCAGUCCCACUGUGGAGACUCUCUCUCUCUCCUCCCUCUGUUCUCUCUCCCACUCUCACUUUCCUGCUCGUCUCUCUCUUUCCUGCUCUUCUCUCUGUUUCUCCCUCUUUUUCCUUCCCUCUCUCUUUUUCCCUCUCUCUAUCAGGGGGUGAAGCUAUGGAAAAUCUCUCAUGGCAGGACUCAUGGCCCUCAAUAUACUGGAGAACUUUCCCAUCAAAGGAAUCAAAAAGAAAUGACCACACAAGGCCACCUGUUAGUCUCAGUGAGGAUCUUGGGUUGACCCAUCUCGGCGUUCCACAACAAACAGCCAACACUGGGUCUGCUCCAGAACCGUUGCAACAUGGUGUAUCCGGAGGCAGAGUAUGUGAGUGGAGUGGAGCAAGAAGUGGAGUGGAGCAAGAAGUGGAGCUGGAGCGGAGCAGGGACUGGAGCUGGAGCGGAGCAGGGAGUGGAGCUGGAGCGGAGCAGGGACUGGAGCUGGAGCGGAGCAGGGAGUGGAGCUGGAGCGGAGCAGGGACUGGAGCUGGAGCGGAGCAGGGACUGGAGCUGGAGCGGAGCGAGGAGUGGA